rnacentral:rRNA from 1 species
AAAGGGAAUCGGAACACAGGUGCUGCAUGGCUGUCGUCAGCUCGUGUCGUGAGAUGUUGGGUUAAGUCCCGCAACGAGCGCACCUUAUCAUAGUUGCUACGCAAGGGCACUCUAAUGAGACUGCCGGUGACAACCGGAGGAAGGUGGGGGAUGACGUCAAGUCCUCAUGGCCCUUAUGGGUAGGGCUUCACACGUCAUACAAUGGUCGGUACAGAGGGUUGCCAAGCCGCGAGGCGGAGCCAAUCCCACAAAGCCGAUCGUAGUCCGGAUUGUUCUCUGCGACUCGAGAGCAUGAAGUCGGAAUCGCUAGUAAUCGCAGGUCAGCAUACUGCGGUGAAUACGUUCCCGGGUCUU